GACUUAUUGUAAGCAAACUCUCACCCAGGCUGACCAUGCUCUCAAGGCUACUCCUCUGCUGGGUUGUUCUUAGACUCCACGCUCCAUGCACAUGCUUCCCUCUACAGCAGGAACCCUCACCUGAUGAUGUCCUGGCAGAGGACCUUGAAGAACACAGGCAAGCAGAGGAAGAAGCUUCAACAAACUAUUUAAAGAGGAAAAAUGUGAAUGAAAGAGCUCAGAGAAUCACUCACCAAGAAUCUAAAGGAAUCAUCACACACUUGAAAAACCCAACUAAAGGCUGCUUCUCAGUUCUGAAUGUGAAGAGUAACAAGUUCUUGUGCUUGGAUUCAGAAAGAAAGCUGUACACUUCGGAGGAUGACAGCAAUGAGGACUGCUGGUUUCAUCGCAUCAAUAGACAUAAACAUUACCGUGUGUUUCAGUCCUGCACUGGAGAUGUGAUGAUCAUUCUCAAUCAGAAGAACGCCAGCGUUCACACACUUGAUUCAUCAGAGCUCUCUAGCUUCAUCUCCAUUAAAAGACACAAAAAACGCACAAACCAUAGAAAAAGACGCAGCUGGCACAUCGAUCCGUCCGAUCCUUUAGGAUCCGAGUACCCGUAUCAGAAAACAAUCAACAGCCAGAAAAGAGAACCUGAGUACAGCAGCAACAUUUUCAAGGAGACCAUUGCUUUGGUUGAUGAUCCACUGCAGGUGCUGCUUCCACACAGCCCACUCAGCCCAACACUGGAAAAGAACUGGAGAAACAAAAAGUUCAGAUUCUGAGAGGACUGUCAGCAUGUGUCAGAUCAUGUGUCAGUGUAGAAUUUUCUCACUCUGCUGUCGAUGUUUCACACUUAAUCACCCUUCUCACUCCUGUAGGUGAGGUGAGGCUCUAUUUGCCCUUUCACCUAAUUUAAUGAGUUAACAUUUAAACACCAGAAUUUCACAUUUCCACAGUGUAGCUCUUUUAAUAAGGUCAGUGAUCAUGCAUUAUUACAUGAUUAAAAAACUAAAGUCUGUUUCUUGGAAUUGAAGCACUAGUCUUCAAAAGUACUUAGAAAAGAUUGAUGUUAUGUUACAUUUUGUUGAGAAAUAUACUUCUCUUUUAAACUCUUUUUAUUCCACAAUGAUCACCUCGUAACCAUAUGUUCUUCUUAUUAUUAUUAUAUGUAUAUUUAAUGGUGCCGGACACCCACUUAAUGUCACUUAUUUAUUUGUCUUUAUAUAUUUUUGUUAUUUAUGACAUUUAUACUUUAUACUGAUUACUACUUUAUACUGAAUGCUGUCAAUUGCAUACAACAAUGAUUGUGUUAUUUGUAAUAUUUAAGAUGUCUUUUUUAUUCUGAGCAUUAAAA
rnacentral:lncRNA from 1 species